rnacentral:tRNA from 1 species
CAAAGGAUAGUUUAAUUAAAAUAUUAAUUUUGGAAAUUAAUGAAAAGUACUUUACUUUCCUUUGA